rnacentral:rRNA from 1 species
AUUGAACGCUGGCGGCAGGCCUAACACAUGCAAGUCGAACGAGUGGCGGACGGGUGAGUAAUGUCUGGGAAACUGCCUGAUGGAGGGGGAUAACUACUGGAAACGGUAGCUAAUACCGCAUACCAUCAGAUGUGCCCAGGUGGGAUUAGCUAGUUGGUGGGGUAACGGCUCACCAAGGCUACGAUCCCUAGCUGGUCUGAGAGGAUGACCAGCCACACGGGAACUGAGACACGUUCCAGACGCCUAUGGUAGGCAGCAGUGGGGAAUAUUUCAUAAUGGGCGCAAUCCUGAUGCAGCCAUGCCGCGUGUAUGAAGAAGUCCUUCGGGCUGUAAAGUACUUUCAGCGGGGAGGCGUUACCCGCAGAAGAAGCACCGGCUAACUCCGUGCCAGCAGCCGCGGUAAUUC